rnacentral:lncRNA from 1 species
CAGAAAAACAGUUUCAUGAAUUAAAGGUCAAAUGAUACAGAGUAGGGGAAUCUAUAGCAUAAACUAGGAGACAUCCUCCAUAGCCAGGAUGGCCUGACUAUGUUGCCUACAAUUUUCUCCCCUUUUCUACGACGGAGUAUUAGUACAAAUGGACUGCAAAAUGUAAUGCCAACGGGUAUCGUGAAAAUCGGCCCCCUAUCAGAACGCUCUACUGGUUCAUUCCAACGUUGAGGUUAGACAGAGGCAGCAACUGGUGUGCCAUAUGUUAUACCGGUUUUGGCGUUCGCAGCCCUAGAUUGGUCAUAUCCAUCAUCGCUAGUUCCGAAGAAGCCUGUUUGUAACGACAGGAGGUAAACCUCGAAGAAAGCAAGGAUGAUUGUCAAGGCUUCCAAAAUUUUCUGCGCCAGACACAAAUUUUUAGAUGAGACACUGCAGAGUUUCAAAGAAGGGACUCCUGUCGUAUCAAACACUAUUUGAUGUUCUACAUUUAUGAAAACAGAAAUGCAAAUGUGAACACAUCUAAA